AGGGGCAGCGGGGGCGUAGCAAUAUGCCUGCCGGCGACCGGCGCACGGGUGAGUAACACGUAUGUAACCUGCCCUAUGCAGGGGGAUAACCCGGAGAAAUCCGGCCUAAUACCGCGUAACACCUUUGGGGAGCAUUCCCUUGGGGUUAAAGGAGAGAUCCGGCAUAGGAUGGACAUGCGUCGCAUUAGGUAGACGGCGGGGUAACGGCCCACCGUGCCGACGAUGCGUAGGGGUUCUGAGAGGAAGGCCCCCCACACUGGUACUGAGACACGGACCAGACUCCUACGGGAGGCAGCAGUGAGGAAUAUUGGUCAAUGGCCGAGAGGCUGAACCAGCCAAGUCGCGUGAGGGAAGAAUGUCCUAAGGAUUGUAAACCUCUUUUGUCGGGGAGCAAAAAGGCUCUGCGGAGUCGUAUUGAGAGUACCCGAAGAAAAAGCAUCGGCUAACUCCGUGCCAGCAGCCGCGGUAAUACGGAGGAUGCGAGCGUUAUCCGGAUUUAUUGGGUUUAAAGGGUGCGCAGGCGGCGUGUCAAGCAAGCGGUAAAAUAGCGGGGCUCAACCCCGUCGAGCCGUUCGCACUGGCGCGCUUGAGUUCAGGCGAGGUAGGCCGAAUU
rnacentral:rRNA from 1 species